rnacentral:tRNA from 1 species
GCCUAGUUAGCUUAGUUGGUAGCGCGUCUGCCUUGUAAGCGCUAGGCCGCGGGUUCGAUUCUCGCCCGGGGCA